GCCGCGUUGGUCAAGAGGUGAAGACGUUUCCCUUUCACGGAAAAAACACAGGUUCGAGUCCUGUACGUGGUA
rnacentral:tRNA from 1 species